CCCAAAAUGUACAGGCAAAUUAAUCUGGGUUUCUGACAACGCCAGCCCAGUCUGCCUGCAAAAUAGCUGUUAAGCAAUCAAUCAGAUUAGUUUGAAGACCCAAACCCAGCUCCAAGCUCAACAUUUGGGCUAAGCAAUCAGUCAAUCAGAUUUUGGUAGAUGAGGAUCAAAGAUUGCUUGCUAGAAGAAGACUACUCGUCGUGGCUCACUAGUGCUCCGGCGAAUGAGACUAAUUCUCCUUUGAGAUUCAUUUUUUUGUGAUGAAGAUUCAAGUGGGGUAAGGAUGACUCAAAGUUCCUUUCUUUUGGUAUAUAUGUGGUAAGCUUUGAUUAAUUUUGUUUCCUUAAGGUUUUGGUUUUAUGUAUUUGAGGACAAAUGGAAACAAAAUAACAGCUUUCUUCUGGGUGAUGGGAAGAAAAGGCAACCACCAGUGCUUUUGGUGAUAAUAAUUGUAAGUUAGCUGGACUGAUAUCAAGUGAUGUGUAUUUUAGAGCAACUUAUGUAUAAUGUACCGUUCUGGCUUUGCUCCAAUAUCAAAUCAUGCCAAAUUGUUGAACUCA